AUUGAACGCUGGCGGCAGGCCUAACACAUGCAAGUCGAGCGCGCGGCGGAAGGGUGUGUAAUGUAUGUGAACUGCCCCCUAGCGGGGGUUGACUACUGGAAACGGUAGCUAAUACCGCAUCCUCUCGGAAGACCCAUAUGGGUGUAGCUAGUAGGUGGGGUAAGGGCUCACCUAGGCGACGAUCCCUAGCAGGUCUGCGAGGAUCAUCAGCAACACUGGGACUGAGACACGGCCCAUACUCCUACGGAGGCGGCAGGGGGAAAUAUUGCACAAUGGGCGCAAGCCUGAUGCAGCAAUGCCGCGUGUAUGAAGAAGGCCCUAGGGUUGUAAAGUACUUUCAGUCGGGAGGCGUUACCGACAGAAAAAGCACCGGCUAACUCCGUGCCAGCAGCCGCGGUAAUAC
rnacentral:rRNA from 1 species